rnacentral:rRNA from 1 species
CCUACGGGCGGCAGCAGUGGGGAAUAUUGCACAAUGGGCGAAACCCUGAUGCAGCGACGCCGCGUGAGUGAAGAAGUAUCUCGGUAUGUAAAGCUCUAUCUGCAGGGAAGAAAAUGACGGUACCUGACUAAGAAGCCCCGGCUAACUACGUGCCAGCAGCCGUGGUAAUACGUAGGGGGCAAGCGUUAUCCGGAAUUACUGGGCGUAAAGGGAGCGUAGGCGGUAGCACAAGUCUGGGGUGAAAUCCCGGGGCUUAACCCCGGAACGGCGUUGGAAACUGGGCGGCUGGAGUGCAGGAGGGGUAGGCGGAAUUCCUAGUGUAGCGGUGAAAUGCGUAGAUAUUAGGAGGAACACCGGUGGCGAAGGCGGCUUACUGGACUGUAACUGACGUUGAGGCUCGAAAGCGUGGGUAGCAAACAGGAUUAGAUACCCCUGUAGUC